CCCGGGUUUCACAAUUUUGACGAACGCUAUAGUAAAGCUAACUGAAUUAUUAGCUCGUACAUAUACUUGUCCAUUAUAAAUAAGAAGAUGCGAUAUGCUAUCGAGACAACUAUCCAACAAAGUUACAGUGUAAAAAUACAUUUGUCUUCCACACCGUCGUACUGCCUACAGAAAAAUUAGCGGGGAAAUAUAACGUUACGUCCCGAAACGUCUUAAUUUUUGGCGCAAUUUGUGAGGCUUACGGAAGGGAUUGAGUAAACAAUAUUAUAUUACUCGAUUUUUCUCAAAAACGAGUAUGGUGACAAAUAUUUUUCAAAACGUUAUGACGUUCCAUUUUUUUCAAAGAAUAACAUAUCUUACUUUGGUCAAAUCGACACCGUUAGAAAUAUUUAAAAAAAUCUAAAAUGUGC
rnacentral:lncRNA from 1 species